CAUAAUAAUUGCUAUGCAAUCAAUAUUUUGCAUGGUUGAAUCCUACCAAAAAUGAGAACUAGGUGGCUAGUGAGCCCUUGGAUGACCGAAUGCUCAAAUCAUCCCAUGAUUAUAAUGAUGAUGACAAUCAUAGUUUCAGCAAUGAUGCAUCUAAUACCUUAGGAGGUAUUGGUGGAUAUGGUAUAACUACAUAUGACCCAC
rnacentral:lncRNA from 1 species